rnacentral:lncRNA from 1 species
GUUUCUUGCAAACUACCACACUCUUGUUGAGUCUCAUGGAUCAGGCCCUAAGAGAAGGUCAUCAGUCGCUAUGGGUCAAAUUAGGGAAGCAGCAAUCCAAGUUGUGGUGCUGAGCAGUAGAUUACUCCAGGGGAACAACAAGUAAAAAGAUUUUCUCUCCAGUCUGCAAAGAAGAAACAGAUUUUCUUGGCAGCUGCAAAGGGGAAAGUAGCUGGUGAACACACAUAUCUGAAGGCUAAUAGAUGCUGAUCCACAAUACUUUGGCAUGUAUAUAACACCGACUGCCAGUCAACAGGCUCAAUUGUGGUAGCGGAGGUCAGCAAGGGAAGAUCUCAUUAUUGAGCCCAAAUCAGAAACUUGCUCUGGAUGAUAACACCCAUCACAUAGGAAGUACCUACUGUUCACUAGAGACUCUAUUAUGGAGCUUUAGUUACUUCCUAACUAAAGCUGAAGUCACUAUAGCUGGGUAGGUGGUGGAACCUCACGACAGGAACAAGCAACACUUCACAAGAGACUUGAGAAAGGCCUGCUGCAAUGCACCUCUCAACUCUGGAACUGUGCCAUUCACUGACACCAAACCGUGAGUGAGGUUUAGUGGAUGAUGAAGAGGGAAGUAACCUGGUGAACGGAUAUUUGCCCACUGGACAUUUACACCAUCAGGUGGGGA